CAGAGCUGAAGCCUCUGCCUGACGGCGACCCUUACGGGGGCUAAUCUGCCUGAACUGCAUGAAAGUAAACCAGCCGGGACUCCAGGGCAGAGGAUCGCGGUAGUGUUCGGUAUAAUCAUGGAUCAUAGUGUUUUGGGGGCCCCGGGGCCAUCAGACAGAACGAUGUGCAGCCUGGAGAAACGUAUUCGACUUGGAAGUCUGCUCUGUCCCCUGGCCGUCCACCCAGCUGCCUAUCUGUGGGAGAGCUGGAUGACUGCUGCUGCCAUAAACACCCUUGAAAUCUUCAGGGUGACAUGGCUGCUUCUGCCUAAAACUCCUCGCUCCAUGCCUCGUGGUCAGCGCAACUCCUGAAACCUUUAUAUGAAAAAGUCUGCAAGAUCUGUACCCCAAGCGAGCCAUCCAC